AGUAGGGAUACAUUUUCGAUAAAUUAUACCGUUUAGAUUGUUUAAAAUUAAUAUUUUUGGUUCGGUAUUCGUGGUUAUUACAGUUAAUAUGUACCUACUAUAAAUACUCGGGAUAAUAUUUUGGUUUUAUAUUCCGGUAUUAUAGCUUCUAAUCAGUGUUGGUGCCAAGAUUUUUUUUUAGGUAGGGUUAAUAAGAGGCCAACAAUUAUAAAAUAGGGCCACAAAAAAAUGAGAUUUCAGCAAAAAAAAACC